GCGGCGUGCCUAAUACAUGCAAGUCGAACGCACAGCGAAAGGUGCUUGCACCUUUCAAGUGAGUGGCGAACGGGUGAGUAACACGUGGACAACCUGCCUCAAGGCUGGGGAUAACAUUUGGAAACAGAUGCUAAUACCGAAUAAAACUUAGUGUCGCAUGACACAAAGUUAAAAGGCGCUUCGGCGUCACCUAGAGAUGGAUCCGCGGUGCAUUAGUUAGUUGGUGGGGUAAAGGCCUACCAAGACAAUGAUGCAUAGCCGAGUUGAGAGACUGAUCGGCCACAUUGGGACUGAGACACGGCUCAAACUCCUACGGGAGGCUGCAGUAGGGAAUCUUCCACAAUGGGCGAAAGCCUGAUGGAGCAACGCCGCGUGUGUGAUGAAGGCUUUCGGGUCGUAAAGCACUGUUGUAUGGGAAGAACAGCUAGAAUAGGAAAUGAUUUUAGUUUGACGGUACCAUACCAGAAAGGGACGGCUAAAUACGUGCCAGCAGCCGCGGUAAUACGUAUGUCCCGAGCGUUAUCCGGAUUUAUUGGGCGUAAAGCGAGCGCAGACGGUUUAUUAAGUCUGAUGUGAAAGCCCGGAGCUCAACUCCGGAAUGGCAUUGGAAACUGGUUAACUUGAGUGCAGUAGAGGUAAGUGGAACUCCAUGUGUAGCGGUGGAAUGCGUAGAUAUAUGGAAGAACACCAGUGGCGAAGGCGGCUUACUGGACUGCAACUGACGUUGAGGCUCGAAAGUGUGGGUAGCAAACAGGAUUAGAUACCCUGGUAGUCCACACCGUAAACGAUGAACACUAGGUGUUAGGAGGUUUCCGCCUCUUAGUGCCGAAGCUAACGCAUUAAGUGUUCCGCCUGGGGAGUACGACCGCAAGGUUGAAACUCAAAGGAAUUGACGGGGACCCGCACAAGCGGUGGAGCAUGUGGUUUAAUUCGAAGCAACGCGAAGAACCUUACCAGGUCUUGACAUCCUUUGAAGCUUUUAGAGAUAGAAGUGUUCUCUUCGGAGACAGAGUGACAGGUGGUGCAUGGUCGUCGUCAGCUCGUGUCGUGAGAUGUUGGGUUAAGUCCCGCAACGAGCGCAACCCUUAUUGUUAGUUGCCAGCAUUCAGAUGGGCACUCUAGCGAGACUGCCGGUGACAAACCGGAGGAAGGCGGGGACGACGUCAGAUCAUCAUGCCCCUUAUGACCUGGGCUACACACGUGCUACAAUGGCGUAUACAACGAGUUGCCAACCCGCGAGGGUGAGCUAAUCUCUUAAAGUACGUCUCAGUUCGGAUUGUAGUCUGCAACUCGACUACAUGAAGUCGGAAUCGCUAGUAAUCGCGGAUCAGCACGCCGCGGUGAAUACGUUCCCGGGUCUUGUACACACCGCCCGUCACACCAUGGGAGUUUGUAAUGCCCAAAGCCGGUGGCCUAACCUUUUAGAAGGAGCCGUCUAAGGCAGGACAGAUGACUGGGGUGAAGUCGUAACAAG
rnacentral:rRNA from 1 species